rnacentral:rRNA from 1 species
GCUAAACGCGAAGAACCUUACCAGGCCUUGACAUGCAGAGAACUUUCCAGAGAUGGAUUGGUGCCUUCGGGAACUCUGAGACAGGUGCUGCAUGGCUGUCGUCAGCUCGUGUUGUGAAAUGUUGGGUUAAGUCCCGCAACGAGCGCAACCCUUAUCCUUUGUUGCCAGCGGUUAGGCCGGGAACUCAAAGGAGACUGCCAGUGAUAAACUGGAGGAAGGUGGGGAUGACGUCAAGUCAUCAUGGCCCUUACGAGUAGGGCUACACACGUGCUACAAUGGCGCAUACAAAGAGAAGCGACCUCGCGAGAGCAAGCGGACCUCAUAAAGUGCGUCGUAGUCCGGAUUGGAGUCUGCAACUCGACUCCAUGAAGUCGGAAUCGCUAGUAAUCGUAGAUCAGAAUGCUACGGUGAAUACGUUCCCGGGUCUUGUACACACCG